UGCAUUAUCUUACCAGCCAAGAAUAAGAACUACUUCCAAGGUUACACUGUAGUGCAAAAAGAAUUCCUGGCUCCUUGUAGCACAGCUGACUCAUGCCAUUUUGCUGUUGCUUUAUGGAGUUAAGGAACAUGA